rnacentral:tRNA from 1 species
GGUUCUAUGGUGUAAUGGUUUGCACUCUGGACUUUGAAUCCAGCGAUCUGAGUUCAAAUCUCGGUAGGACCU